rnacentral:lncRNA from 1 species
UUUGCUGAUGUGUUUAUGGUGUUAAUGGCACGUGGGUGGGUUAGGUGACAAGUGAAGGGUCGUUCAAUGGUGGCCCUUGAUGGUGGACACGUGUCAUUGGUAGCGGAAAUCUCGCUGAUGUUAGGUGAGAAUGUUGCGUGCGGAGGAAGUAAAGAAUUUUAAUGGUUUAAGUUAUCUUUUGAGUGUUCUGGGUUGAGUUAUGAGCCAUAAAGAGUGUUGGGAUGUGGAGGAAAAAUGAGAGUGUUGUCGUCGGGGUGGUGAAGGGUGGGGUUUUUGUGGCCGUGGUAAGGUUUAAGUAAAGCAAUGUGAAGCAACCACUCCUAUGCAUUUGAUGAUGCGAUAUGGACCAUAAUAUUUUCGAAUGAGUUUGUGGUGAGGCUUGGAAGAGAGGGAAAAUUGUUGGUAUGCUUUUCGUCGUAGUGGCACCCAAUUGUUAAUGUUGAAGACGUAGUCGUGAUUUGUUUGCAAUUUGGGCCAUGCGAUGUUGAGUGUGAGCGAGGGUGGUCUUCAAAUGGUGCAUUAUCUAUGUGCACUCUUGUAAGGUAGUGGCGAGAGCUGGUUCUGUUGUCGUGCUCGAAAUGUAGUCUGAUAUGGAAGGUGGAGGUCGCCCAUAAAGCGCUUGGAAAGGUGUAGUAUUGAUUGCGGUAUGGUAGGACGAGUUAUACCAAAACUCAACAAGGUGUAAGUACUUGUACCAUGUCCUCGGAUGGUCACUUGCGAAGGUAAAUUUCUAAUCCUCUAUUUAUGACUUCCGUUUGACCAUCUGUUUGAGGAUGAUAGGCGGUGCUAAAUUUGAGUUUGGUGCCUUGUAGGUGAAAAUGUUGCUUCCAAAAAAUUACUGAGUAAGAGUGAGUCUCUAUCGAAGAUGAUGGAUUUGGGAAUGUCGUGCAACCUACAAAUCUCAACAGAAAACGGUUAGCCAAUUGGGAUACGGUGAAGGAGGUGGGUAAUGCUAUGAGGUGGACAGAUUUGGACAAAAGAUCACAUAUGACCCAUAUCACCGUGUGGCUAAAUGUGUUAUGAAAUCUGUGGUGAGCUCAUCCCAAAUUUGGGUUGGUGAGGGAUUGGGUUGUAAAAGACCUAAGGGUUUGUUGUUGACUUGUUUAUUUUUUUUGGCAAGGGAGACAUUGUUUGAUGAACGAUUUGACAUCUCUAUACAUCCCUGGCCAAUAUAAGGACGCGGCUAGGCGAGCCACAAUGGCUUUAAGGCCCGAGUGUCCAACAGAGGGGGUGGCAUGGAACUAGUGAAGUAUGGUGGUGUGCAGAGAUUAUAUGGAUGUUAGAUAUAGUCUUCGGUCGAGAUACAAAAGAUCGUUUUGAAAGGUAUAUUCUUUGUUUUGAGAAGCUGUAACUUUGUGUACUUCUUGUUUCCCCAAUUUUGACUGGUAAUAUUUUUUUAAUUGCAAGAGGAUUUCUAGGAUUGGGGAGGAGAUGGCCAAAAAAAUAGAAGUGGGUGACCGAGAGAGGAAAUAAACUGCUUGAUUGUGGCGGUCUGGGCGGUACAAAAUAUAAAAAAUGUAACCAAUGAGUUUGGUGGCCAUUUUUGUUGCUCUAGAGUAGAACAUGCCUUGGUAAGUAACCCCUUAAGACUUCUGUGAGAAUUUGGAAAUGAUUGUCAAUUAGGUAGUGUCUCCAUUUUUUUAUUGCCUUAGUGAUUGCGAGCAUUUCUUUGACAUGCACUAAAUUAUAAUGUAUUUUGGAACAUAGCUUCUUGCUGAAGAAAGCAAUGGGAUGACCAGCUUGGGAGAGAACUGUGCCAAUGACAGAAUUGGAGGCAUCUUUUUCAACCACAAACGAAAGAGAAAAAUCUAGAAGAUGUAGAACAAAGAGUGUAGUUAGGAAUUUCUUAAAUUGUAAAAAGGUCUUUUGUGCCUCUUCAUUCCAUGUAAAAACUUUGAAUUUUAGUAAAUCCGUGAAUGGAGGGGCAAGAAUGGCAUAACCGUGUAUAAAUUUGUGAUAAAACUCGGUAAUUCCCAAAAAAACGCGGAGAGUGGUGAGAGAGGUAGGUUUGGGCCAAAGAAGUAUGGCCUGAAUCUUGUCUGGGUCAGGAGCAACAGUCCCUGCUUGAAUGAUAUGGCCCAAAUAGAAAACCCUAGACGUUGCAAACAUGCACUUAGAUUCUUUGACAAAAAAUUGUUGUCUUGAAGUAAUUAGAGAGUAAUGGUAAGGUGUUGGAUAUGCUCUGACAUGGAUUUACUGUAGAUAAGGAUGUCAUAAAUAAACUAGCACAAAUUGUCUUAGAUGCGGUCUUAGGAGGUCGUUCAUGGCCGCUUGAAA